rnacentral:rRNA from 1 species
UCGAGAAUUUUUCACAAUGGGCGCAAGCCUGAUGGAGCGACGCCGCGUGGGGGAUGAAUGGCUUCGGCCCGUAAACCCCUGUCAUUUGCGAUCAACCGUUGUUAUUUAAAAGAUGACAGCCUGAUAGUAGCGAAAGAGGAAGGGACGGCUAACUCUGUGCCAGCAGCCGCGGUAAUACAGAGGUCCCAAGCGUUGUUCGGAUUCACUGGGCGUAAAGGGUGCGUAGGUGGCGAAGUAAGUCGGAUGUGAAAUCUCCGAGCUCAACUCGGAAACUGCAUUGGAAACUACUUUGCUCGAGGGUUGGAGGGGGGACUGGAAUACUUGGUGUAGCAGUGAAAUGCGUAGAUAUCAAGUGGAACACCAGUGGCGAAGGCGAGUCCCUGGACAACUCCUGACACUGAGGCACGAAAGCUAGGGGAGCAAACA